GGAUUCCCCUAGUAACUGCGAGUGAAGCGGGAAAAGCUCAAAUUUAAAAUCUGGCGGUCUUUGGCCGUCCGAGUUGUAAUCUAGAGAAGUGUUAUCCGCGCUGGACCGUGUACAAGUCUCCUGGAAUGGAGCGUCAUAGAGGGUGAGAAUCCCGUCUUUGACACGGACUGCCAGGGCUUUGUGAUGCGCUCUCAAAGAGUCGAGUUGUUUGGGAAUGCAGCUCCAAAUGGGUGGUAAAUUCCAUCUAAAGCUAAAUAUUGGCGAGAGACCGAUAGCGAACAAGUACCGUGAGGGAAAGAUGAAAAGAACUUUGGAAAGAGAGUUAAACAGUACGUGAAAUUGCUGAAAGGGAAACGCUUGAAGUCAGUCGCGUUGGCCGGGGAUCAACCUUGCUUUUGCUGGGCGUACUUUCCGGUCGACGGGUCAGCAUCAAUUUUGACCGUUGGAUAAAGUCUAGAGGAAUGUGGCAUCUUCGGGUGUGUUAUAGCCUCUGGUCGCAUACAACGGUUGGGAUUGAGGAACUCAGCACGCCGCAAGGCCGGGUACUCGUACCACGUUCGUGCUUAGGAUGCUGGCAUAAUGGCUUUAAUCGACCCGCUUGAAA
rnacentral:rRNA from 1 species